GAUCGAUGAUGAAAAACAGCCAAAUCUGAGAGUUCGGGGCUUCGAGCCUCGGCCUGUGAUUAUGCUUGAGAAGCUUCUGUGU
rnacentral:snoRNA from 1 species